AGGGAAGUCAUUGAUACUUAAAUCCUCCUCCUUCUUCUCCUAAUUAUUAUCAUCAUCCAUAACAAAUUAUAUGAUAUGAAACAAUGCAAAUUGUUUAUAAACAAAAUAAUAGUUACUUAUAGAAUUUGAAAAUUGAAACUUAUUACGAAACUUAACUUUGACCAAGGAACUCAGGAAACUAGAUCAAGAUAUAUUCAGAUGACCCAUGAAAGACAGACAUGUACACCAUACUAUCUUUUAAUCGAAACAAAUACAGGUAACCUUUUGAUCUUAGUAUCUUCUAAAUGAACUAAAUUACGUAGAUGUAAUCUUGGUCAAUGAACUAUGAAAAUAUAACUCUUGCUGCCAGUGUUGGAGAAACAGCAUAAUUACAAAUACUUAAUUCGAUCACCUAACCUUGAAAUAAGUUUAAUGAAUAGAAUGAAUCGUGUCUAACCUUGCAUUGUUUCAAUUUGCUAAAAAUAUACAUGUAAUGGACCUGUUUCUCGUGUUAUUUAAAACAAAAAUGGUAUACACUAUUCAUUUAAACGCGUCAUUGAACCAUUAACUAAAAAAAAUGUAAGGGUUCCGCGGAACCCAGUGGCACGCCUUCUUUUGCUGUAAGUCACACACUCAACAAAAAUGUUGAAAAAAAUCAAUAAAGAUAUUCCUCUCAUUCUAUCUUUUGAUUGUCAGAAGCUUCUGUCCAAGUUUGGUAAAAAUAAAGGAUAAAUAAAAAUUCCAUUUAUAAGUUAAAUACGGAAAAAAUGGCAUUUUAUUUUUACAGAAUUUACAUCUGGAUACUAUCGUCUGAUCAUAAACAAGCUUCUGUCAAGGUUUGGUACAAUACCAGGAUAGUUUAAGAAAGUUAUUAAAAUUUCAAAACCUUUAACCACAGAGUGAAUGUAAUGUUUCCUGGCAGUCCAUUUAUAAAUAAAAUACGGAAAAAAUGGCAUUUUAAUUUUACAAAUUUACUUCUGAAUACUAUCUUAUGAACAUAAACAAGCUUCUGUCCAAGAUUGGUAGAAAUCCAGGAUAGUUCAAGAAUGUUAUUAAAAUUUCAAAAACUUUAACCACAGAGUGAAUAUUUGUGGACGCCGUCGCCGCCGACGACGACGACGACAGAAUGUAGGAUUGCUAUGUCUCGCUUUUUCGACUAAACUCGAAGGCUCGACAAAAACAUAUGAACGUCUAUACGAAGAGCUUACAAUAUCGCAGCCGAAAGAUGAACAUCCCUAUAUCUCACUGGUCUCUGAAAAAAACAAUUCAUAUAUAUACCUUAAUAGUGAUAUAUUAUGUAUAUAUGAUUUUUGUUUCCAGACGUGCCUGUGCUUUGCCUCUGUGUUUUGAGACUUUUGUUGCAAGCGAAGCAAAACUAUUAUUAGAUAUCAUAUUCGACCGGUGGUGUGCUUAUUGGUUGUUAUUAGGGAUAGGGGAGUUCAAAUUCAUUUAACGGUAUUCUUUAAAUCCCAUAAAUCGUUUUUACCCAUUGAUUGUUCUGUUGAGUAGUAGUGCAUUCAACUGUUUCAAGUCGGGGGUAAAAUUUCGAUUUAUAUUCUUACGAUAUCAAUUUCAAUUUAUUUGUAUUGUCUUACAAGUUUAUUGUAUAAAACCAUUUAACUAUACACAAACAUUGAAUACUAUCACAAUAAAGUAUUACAAAAUAUAAUUAAAGUGUAUUUGAUUUGAUUUUCAUUUAAAAAUCUAUGUACUUUUC
rnacentral:lncRNA from 1 species